rnacentral:lncRNA from 14 species
UGUCAGCAAAGGGGCGAAUAACGCUGUUGUGAGUCUGGGCCCGGGCCCGGAAGUUGGUCAGCUGCUCCUGGGUCAUAACUUGUGCUACUUCAGCCUGCUUCCCGACCAUGACUGAUGGACUUGGGCAGUCCCUUCUCAGAGUACCCGACUCCACCCAGGUGCCCACCUGACAAGGUGUUGUAUGCAACUAGGAGGAGAUGCAGUCAGUGUUCUGAGCUUAAAAAAGAUUUUGUUUUGCAUGAGAACAGCAGAGUACUCCCCAGUAAUGACAAAAGAGAACAUUUCUCCAGUGCGUAUAACAUGAAAACAUUCAAUUGGAAGCAAUUUGUGUUUUAACCACUUGCUUACUGACUAAAUUAGUUCUGCCAGUGUAGUGCAUUCUUUUGGAGAUGUGAAUAUAAUUGGAUGUUAAGUUUAAUUCAUUUAAAUAAGUAUGCUUCCAAGCCAAUGCAAAGUAGUUUGGCUUAGCAAAAGUACAUUGAUGUAGUAAACAUUUAGCUAUAUGUAAUCUGUAUUGACAGAGUUUUUACAUAAAUGUGUUAAUAAUGAUCUGUACUGAAAUGUAGUGUGUAAGAACCAUGUAAUAUGCACUUUAAUGAGAAUCUUAUCCUUGCAAACAAUCUGUUUUACCCUUAGCUUUAACAAUACAUAAAAAAAGACAAAACUGUACAGUAAUAGGACCGUUAGUUGGUUUUGGUUUCGUGUGUUCACCUCUUCACAAGCUGGGGAAUGUUUUUCUCAAACAUAAUGAGAGGCUGGAAUAUUUUCUUCAUUGUUUGACUGCUUUGUAGCUGUAAACAGACAUAAGGCUUUUUGCUUUGAAUGGUUAUUUAGGUUGGUGAUCUUUACUGGGUGGGCUGACAGAGUGCUUUGCUAUAAUUAUUUAUACUUAUAAAUAUAAUUAUUUCUUAUUAUAAAUUUGUUUUUUCAAUUGUUUUAAUGGUGACUUUACAAUCAGGGAGAAGCCAGG